GGUUCGGUGGUGUAGUUGGUUAUCACAUCUGUCUAACAUCUCUGAAAGGGAAACCCGCACAGAAGGUCCUCAGUUCAAGUCUGGGCCGAGCCA